UACGUAGGGGGCAAGCGUUGUCCGGAUUUAUUGGGCGUAAAGAGCUCGUAGGCGGUUUGUCGCGUCUGCUGUGAAAACCGGAGGCUCAACCUCCGGCCUGCAGUGGGUACGGGCAAACUAGAGUGCGGUAGGGGAGAUUGGAAUUCCUGGUGUAGCGGUGGAAUGCGCAGAUAUCAGGAGGAACACCGAUGGCGAAGGCAGAUCUCUGGGCCGUAACUGACGCUGAGGAGCGAAAGCGUGGGGAGCGAACAGG
rnacentral:rRNA from 1 species